rnacentral:rRNA from 1 species
UACGUAGGGUGCAGGCGUUAAUCGGAAUUACUGGGCGUAAAGCGUGCGCAGGCGGUUUGCUAAGUCAGGUGUGAAAUCCCCGGGCUUAACCUGGGAACUGCGGUUGUAACUGGCAAGCUAGAGUGUGGCAGAGGGGGGUGGAAUUCCACGUGUAGCAGUGAAAUGCGUAGAGAUGUGGAGGAACACCGAUGGCGAAGGCAGCCCCCUGGGCUAACACUGACGCUCAUGCACGAAAGCGUGGGGAGCAAACAGG